GCACGAUCUCUCUAGGGUGUUUCCACUUGCUCUCGUGGUCAUGCAUGUGUAAGUAUGAACUAAUUCAGACUGUGAAACUGCGAAUGACACAUUAAAUCAGUUAUAGUUUGUUUGAUGGUAUUUGCUACUCGGAUAACCGUAGUAAUUCUAGAGCUAGUACGUGCACAAACCCCGACUUCUAGAAAGGACGCAUUUAUUAGAUAACUCGAUGAAUCGCAUGGCCAUCGUGCUGGCGACGUAUCAUUCAAAUUUCUGCCCUAUGAACUUUUCAUGGUAGGAUAGAGGCCUACCAUGGUGGUGACGGGUGACGGAGAAUUAGGGUUCGAUUCUGGAGAGGGAGGCUGAGAAACGGCUACCACAUCUAUGGAAAGCAGCAGGCGCAAAAAUUACCCAAUCCUGACACGGGGAGGUAGUGACAAUAAAUAACAAUACCGGGCUCUUCGAGUCUUGUAAUUGGAAUGAGUACAAUCUAAAUCUCUUAAUGAGGAUCCAUUAGAGGGCAAGUCUGGUGCCAGCAGUUGUGGUAAUUCUAGCUCCAAUAACGUAUAUUUAAGUUAUUGUAGUUAAAAAGCUCGUAGUUGGACUUUGGGUUGGGGCGGCCGGUCCGCCUCAGGUGUGCACCGGUCGCCUCGUCCCUUCUACCGGCGAUGCGCUCCUAGCCUUAAAUGGCUGAGUCGUGCCUCCGAUGCUGUUACUUUGAAGAAAUUAGAGUGCUCAAAGCAAGCCUACGCUCUAGAUACAUUAGCAUGGGAUAACAUUAUAGGAUUUCGAUCCUAUUGUGUUGGCCUUCGAGAUCAGAGUAAUGAUUAACAGGGAUAGUUGGAGGCAUUCGUAUUUCAUAGUCAGAGGUGAAAUUCUUGGAUUUAUGGAAGACGAACUACUGCGAAAGCAUUUGCCAACAAUGUUUUCAUUAAUCAAGAAUGAAAGUUGGGGGCUCGAAGAUGAUCAGAUACCAUCCUAGUCUUAACCAUAAACGAUGCCGACUAGGGAUUGGCGGAUGUUGCUUCUAGGACUCCACCAACACCUUAUGAGAAAUCAAAGUUUUUAGGUUCUGGGGGGAGUAUGGUCGCAAGGCUGAAACUUAAAGGAAUUGACGGAAGGGCACCACUAGGAGUGGAGCCUGCUGCUUAAUUUGACUCAACACGGGGAAACUUACAAGGUCCAAACAUAGUAAGGAUUGACAGACUAAGAGCUUUUUUUUUUUGAUCAAUUGUAAGAAUAUAUUAUAGAUCAAAAGUUACAAAGCUGGAAACAACAAAAUAGGAAAUAAAUACAAGAGGAACAGAUAAGGAUACAAGCUCCCUAUGAGACAAAUAAGAAGACAAAAGCAUUACAAUCCAUUAUCAAAAUAAAUAAAUAAACUAAAGCUAGCAAAGGGUAAGGACUGCCUAACUACUAGCCAGCCAAGCCAGGACAAAGGAAUCAACCGAAGGUCAAUAGCACAUCCUAGCAAAACAAAGAAGCCAAUAGAGCAACCCUACCACAAAGAUCAAUCAUUCUAUUACAAAGGGAGAAGAUUGACUUCCAUAAAGAAGAGUCAGUUUUCUUUGCAUCCAAGGACCAGAUGGAGGCAUGUGAAAUGUAGUAAUGGUCUACCCAUCGAAUCCAGAGGGAAUCAGACUUCAAGUGAAUAUUCCAGAGAUGCUUGGCAAAAAAACUAUCAUUUCUAGCCUUGAUGUCAAGAACCGCCGGACCCCCUUCAUCCUUUGGCAAACACACCUGCUUCCAAGCAACAAAAGUAGAUUUACUUCUAAGCACAUCCCCGGUCCAUAGGAAAUUUCUGCACAGACUGGUAAUCUUGUUGAUAACUACUACUGGAAUAGGGAAGAUGCUAAUCCAAAACUGCACCAUGCCAUGCAGGACUAAUUUUAUUAACUCCAGCCGACCAGCAUACGAGAGAUGCUUUCCCAUCCAACUCUAAAUAGCCAAUUCUAACUUGUGAAUGAGGGGAGAGAAUUGACUAGCGAGAAGCUUGUGAGGGCUGAGGGGGACACCGAGGUACUUAAAUGGAAAAGGUCCCUUCGAUGAACUGGAAGAGCUUGAGAAUGGCUUGCUUCAUAUCCCCCGAUACACCAACAAAG